ensembl:snoRNA SNORA62 Small nucleolar RNA SNORA62/SNORA6 family
UCUGCAUGUUUUUAGAGCUUGGAGUUGAGGCUGUUGGCUGGCUGAUGAACUCACAAGUGUAGAUAGUGUGCUAUAUGAGUGGAACGCCUUUCACUAACACAAGAAUCUCUGAUCCAAUGAGUGGAGUUUGAUAGUAGUUAUUGCUACAAUU